CAUGUAGCAGUUUUGAUUCUUAUCUCAUGCGGAUUUUGCGAGGAGAUGCCGCCUUUCGUUGCGAUGUUGGGGGCUUUUACAGUGCUGCGGGUUGCUGCUCUGCAAUGAUGUUAGCGAUGGCGACACAAGCAAGAACACAGUCCCCAAAUGGUUUGCUCUUUAUUUGUGGACCAAUAUUACAAUAUACGACACGAGACAGGAGACUAGGUGCAUAACCUUUUAUCAAGAUACCAUCAGGACUGGCCGGGCAUGUUCUGAUUGAGUCAUGGAAUAUGUAACAACAAUGCCUUUGACAUUGGCAAUCUCUGUGUCAGCUGUAUCUGAUCUUUCUCAACUUCAGGCUAUGUUUUUCAAUAUAGGCCUAUUAUAUGUGUGGUCUCCUUGUAUUUGGAUGAUAUACAAAUUGGUUCCAGUUCGAGGUUUCCAGCGAUUGUCAGGGCAUCGACUGCGUAGUAUCUAACAGGGACGCUCCAACUGCGUCAGGUUGUUGCUAGCGGGGAAUGGAAAGGUGAAGACAAGAUCUCCACGACACCGUAUCCUGCUGCCAAGUUCUUUGAUUGGUUUGCGACUGCACAUGCCAGAGAUCAAGAAUAAGGUGGGUAGCACAACUCAUUUGGUGUUUGAUGGAAUGUCUCAUUGGGAUAUGUGAUUUUGUUCUAUAAGCUGUAGUAAUCACACACUAAAUACUGGUUAUAUAGUCAAAAGUAAAUUUAUAAUUAAUUUGUUGUGCACGUUCAAUAGUUGAUGUUGUUCUUAGAGCUGUGUUUUUCAUCUGUGUGCAGCUCUGUACUAGACAUGUGAAUGGGAUAUCUUUUUCUUGCAGGAAUUAUGGGUUCACAAGACCAUAAGUUUACUAUUGUUGGUGAAAUAGUAUCCCUCGGUUACUUUCAUAGUUUCAUGCUUAGGGGUUCGAUCCUCUGCGGGGAUGCUUAUAUAUACUUUGAACCUUCCGCUACACCUGGUUUUUCCGAAAUUCUAUCAUCUUUGCGGGAAGAUAUGGAAGUAUCAUUCAUAUUUUAAAUCAUUUUCUUCUAUGACUGCUCAGGGUGUUUAAAGCUAAAUUACUUGCGCUUGUAUUGUAUUUAACCACUCAACAAUAUAUUUGCUCCAAUAACUUUUCCCGAAAGCUGAUUUCUCAUUAUCUCCAUUUCCCAAUUCCUUCUGGUGCUCAUGCCGAUUGCUGGAAGAAUCCUAAUGGUAUAGACUAUAUACUCUGCUCCUCUGCUAAGGUUAAUCCACUGGGUAUGUUGCGAAGAUAGUUUCAUCUUCCCAUAAUGUUUGGUGAUCAAUUUUAACGUGCAUCAUAUGAGGAAGCAUUGACAAGGCUUUUUUUUAAUGUUGGUAUAUUGCUGCAAUCAUUAAAAUAGCAAUCCUUGUUACCUUAGUAUCUACAGCCUUGGUUCUAUAUUAAAUGUUGCAGAUUUGUCAAGAUUUGCAUGUGUCUACACACUGAAACGCGUUUGGAUACAUGCUUAUCUAGACAAAUCUGUGAACCAAGGUAGUAAUAGUUAUUGGGGAAGCUGUAAAGAUCACCUGUUUGCUAUAGAAAAGAUAUUCAGUUAUUAGAUCAUUUCUUCCCCUAAAAGCAUAACUAUGUUUACAAUCUCUGUUGAGAAUCAUUCCCUAGCUCAUGGUCUGCCAAAGUGUUGAUGCAAAUAUAAGUAAACCUGCACAAAUUUGUUAUUAGGCCGACAUAGCCGACUAAAAGUCUUGAGAAGUUUAUGAACGCAGAACUUGAUAAAACUUAACAAGUUUGCAUCGCACAACUAUAUGAAACUGUUCACUGAAGAACAACUAAUCUUUCUCCACACAGGAUAAUGUGCAUUAAAUAUAUACUUAUUCAUUUACGGAAUAGUAAAAGAGACCGCAAUAAUAAAAAGAACAUGUAGUUCAGGCUAGAUUUUCAAUGCAAAAUUGGGACGAGACCUUCUGUUUCUUUUGAAUAACUGCAUUUCCGCCAUACUAUUUGUUUGCCAUCGAAAUGGAGCAUGUUUGCUGGGCAUCUCUCCAUGUUAAUUCACAUAGGCAUAGUUUAUUAGAUUAAAUUUGCAGAUGUAGCAUUUUUUUAGCAUAAAUGGAUUCAUGAGCCCUUCAAUAGUCAUUCUUUGCGCUUGUUAAUGAAAUGAUCAUGUAGAUAUUGAUGGCAAUGAAUUAAGGGCAAUCAGUUUUUCUGCUUUGCUAAGCCGAAAUUGCAGUCAGUAUCUUGAUAAUGUAUCUCAAUUCCUAAAUCCUUGUUGUUCCUUUUCUAGGAAUUUGAAAAUAUUACUGCAGAUGGAUAGGUAAAUUUCAUGUUCCAUCUAGAAUGCUCGUCGCUGCUGACACCAGAAUGCCAAUUCUAUGGAGAAACAACAGAGGAUUGCUAGAUGACAAGAACCCUUCCGUGCUGAUGCACUACAUCACCCCUGUCCUGAUGUUCCAGCUCUACAAGCUUUGCUGCUGAACUCUGUGUGCUCUGUGUGUGCUCAU